rnacentral:ncRNA from 1 species
GAAGGAACAAUGUAGGCAAGGGAAGUUAGUAUAAUGGAUCCGUAACCUUGGGACAAAAGGAUGGGCUCUAAGUGCUACGCAUGGGGUCUUGAUCCCGAACCCAUCAGUUGUUGGCAAGCUGCUUGAGCUACUUUCGUGGCGAGGGCGGGUCGCCACGUGUUGGCUGGGGAAUGGCUCCCUUGGGGGCCUUCCCCAGGCGUUGAACAGUAGACUCAAAACUAGUAUAGACAGGGGGAAUCCAAAUGUUUAAUUAAAACAAAGCAUUGUGAUGGUCCCUACAUAUACUAACACAAUGUGAUUCCUACCCAAUGCUCUAAAUGUCAAAGUGAAGAAACUCAACCAAGCGCAGGCAAAUGAUGGAGUAACUAUGACUUUCUUAAGGUAUCCAAAUGCUUGGUCAUCUAAUUAGUUGUGUUCAUGAAUGGAUUAAUGAGAUUCCCAUUGUUUCUGUCUACUAUCUAGUGAAACCACAACCAAGGAAAUGGGCUUGGCGGAAUUAGUAGGGAAAGAAGACCCUGUUGAGUUUGACUUUUGUCCGACUUUAUAAAAUGACUUGAGAGGUGUGAAAUACCAUUACUUUUAAUGUUAUUUUACUUAUUCCGUUAGUCAGAGGCAGGACAUUGCCCCUCCUUUUAGACCCAAGGCUCACAUCGAUGGACCAAUCUAGGCAGAGGACAUUAUCAGGUGGGGAGUUUGGAUGGGGCAACACAUUUGUUAAAAGAUAGCAUAGGUGUCCUAAAAUAAGCUCAACAAGAACAGAAAAUCUCGUAUGGAAAAAAAGGGUCGCAACUCAUUUGAUUCUGAUGUAUAGUACGAAUACAGACCAUGAAAAUGUAGCUAUGGAUCCUUUAGACUUUCGGAAUUUGAAAAUAGAGAUGUUAGAAAAGUUACCACAAGUAUAAUUAGCUUGUGGCAACCAAACAUUCAUAGCGACAUUGCUUUUUAAUCCUUUGAUGUCGGCUUUUCCUAUCAUUAUGAAGUAGAAUUCACUAAUAUCGUGUUUGGUUUGAAGGAAAAAAUAGGGAAAGAAAGGGAAACACAUGGAAACCUUUACAAACCUUGUACUGGUUUCCUUACAUUUUCCUACCUUUUCCUUCAAACCAAACAUAGCCUAAGUGUUAGAUUGUUCGCCCAUUAAUAAGGAACGUGAACUGGGUUUACACCAUUGUGAAAUAGGUUAGUUUUACCCUACUAAUGGCAAUGUUGUGAUAGUAAUUCAACAUAGUAUGAGAGGAAACAUUGAUUCACACAAUUGGCCAUUGCACUUGGUUGAAAAGCUAGUGGUGCGAAGCUACCGUGUGCCAGAUUAUGAUUAAACACCUCUAAGUCAAAAUCUUAGCUAAACAUGUGACGUGUGCGCUUGUUGCUCGAUUGCCAACCCAUAAUAGGGCCUUUAGGCCCCUAAAGGCACAUGCCAUUGGUGAAACCCUUCUGACAAACAAGCCAUGUAGACUGUUUUGAAAUGCAAUUCCUAUUGAGCAGCGGGUAGAAUCUUUUAUACAUUAUUUAAAUAUGUAGUGAUGUAUUGUAAGUGGUAGAGUGGCCUUAUUGCCACGAUCCACUAAGAUUCAACCCUCUAUUGCACCGUUUC